UUGACGUGAACGUAGCCCUCUAUUUAUCCACAGAACAGGUACAGCCGCAGUGCCAGCCUCCUCUCACAGCCACACCACUCUGCCUCAACCCUGAUCUGGAGGGACCAGCUCCAGGGUUGAGAAGGUAAUCCCACUAAAUCACGCUUCUAUAGAG
rnacentral:sRNA from 1 species